rnacentral:lncRNA from 1 species
UAAUAUAAAGGUUCAGAUUCCAAAGUAGAAGAAGAGGAACCAGAAAAGGCAGGGAGUUGGCAAACAUAAUCCUUAAGAUAGGAAGGAGGAUUAUGCUGUCUAGUGGAUUUUCUCGGAGCAGGAAGAGGUUGUGAAGAAGGCAAAACAGGGGGAGAGAUAUCAUGAUUGAAAGAAGGAAGGGAAGAUGGAUCAGCAUCAGUAAAA